rnacentral:rRNA from 1 species
CUACGGGUUGCUCCAGUGGGGAAUAUUGCACAAUGGAGGAAACUCUGAUGCAGCAACGCCGCGUGGAGGAUGACACAUUUCGGUGCGUAAACUCCUUUUAUGUGAGAAGAUAAUGACGGUAUCACAUGAAUAAGCACCGGCUAACUCCGUGCCAGCAGCCGCGGUAAUACGGAGGGUGCAAGCGUUACUCGGAAUCACUGGGCGUAAAGCGCGCGCAGGCGGCUUUUCAAGUUGGAUGUGAAAUCCUAUGGCUUAACCAUAGAACUGCAUCCAAAACUGUUAAGCUAGAGUCUGGGAGGGGAAGAUGGAAUUAGUUGUGUAGGGGUAAAAUCCGUAGAGAUAACUAGGAAUACCAAAAGCGAAGGCGAUCUUCUGGAACAGUACUGACGCUGAGGCGCGAAAGCGUGGGGAGCAAACAGGAUUAGAUACCCCCGUAGUC